rnacentral:rRNA from 1 species
ACUUUAAUUGAAGAGUUUGAUCAUGGCUCAGAUUGAACGCUGGCGGCAGGCCUAACACAUGCAAGUCGAGCGGAAACGACUUAACUGAACCUUCGGGGAACGUUAAGGGCGUCGAGCGGCGGACGGGUGAGUAAUGCCUGGGAAUAUGCCUUAGUGUG